ACCUGAAGAGGAAAAUUACACUAUGCAUUUCAUUGCCAUUCGAAGCUCAUCGGAUAGUGAACAGAGCCGUUGCAAGCCUAAAAAUGGCCGCAGCUGACACCAAGUGGAACACCACUGCUCUUCUUGUCAUUGACAUGCAGGUCCUCAUCGAUCCCUCCUCUCCUUUUCUUUUCUUUUCAAGUUCAACUAUGCAUUCUAUCAAAAAAUUUAUAAUUAUCUUGUUCUUCAGAAUUUUUUAUAAACGGGUACACUUUUAUUCGUAUAUUUUCAUUUUGAAUAAUAAUUCGAUAUUUUAUUGAAAUUAUAAUAAUGACUUCAUGGGUUCUUUCUCUGUUAUCAUUUUUUUGAAGAAUUUGAUACUAAAAUUUUUUGUUUUGGUACUUUUCUGUUCAGAACGAUUUUAUACUACCAGGUGGCCCGAUGCACGUGAAAGGUGGCCAAGAUAUUGUGCCUAAUGUUAUCAAGGCUGUUGAGAUUGCUAGAAGCCGUGGCAUUCCCAUUAUAUGGGUUACUUUCUAAUUUUUUCUGUUUAUGUUGAAGACUGAAUUUGAAAUAAAUAAAUGUUGAUAGUUUACAGGAGGUGGUUCAAUAUGUUAUUGACGCUGGCCAUGUUCUUGAGUUAAAUUUUGGCGCCACUUUCAUGAAAAAUUUGUUGCUUUAGCUUUAAGAUGCGCUGUUUCAAUAGUUAAUGAGUUGAGUAUGUUAUUUUGGUAUGCCAUAUUUUUUUUUUCUCUUAAUGGGAAUGAAUAGAAUUAGAAUUAAGUUAUAUCUGGUUUUAAUGAAUAUGUGAUAAUCUUUGAGUCCCCUGUCAGAUAGACUAAAGCAAAGAAUACGUGCCUGAUUGAAUUUGAUUUCUGAAAUGGGUAUUUUCAGAUUGAAGUUGGAUCCUACAGAAGACAGAGGCUUUAUGUUUUGCAUUUUGAUCUUUCUUGAUAAUUGUGCAUUUGUAAUUUUAAUAAAGUAGGAAAACAACUUCUUGAAGUCCUUAAAUUUUAUUGCAAAUGUCAAGAAUCAUAAUGUUUGAAAUGGCAAUUGAAAAAUGGGGCUUAGGUUGUUCGUGAGCACGAUCCUUUGGGAAGAGAUGUGGAAUUGUUCCGUCGGCACAUGUAUUCUGCUGGAAAGCCAAAACCAACUUCCAAGGGUAGCGUUGGUGCAGAACUGGUUGAUGGGCUAGCAGUCAAAGACAAUGACUACAAGCUGGUGAAGACACGGUUUAGUGCAUUUUUUAACACACGCCUUCAUUCGUAUCUUCAGGGUGCUGGAAUUAGUAAUUUAGUUAUCACUGGUAAAUAAUUUCUGUACUCCCACCAGUUUUUUGAGUUGGCUUCUUCUACUUGUGAUAGAAGUCAGAUUUUAAUUCGUUAGUUCACCUAUAUAGGUGUCCAAACUCCAAAUUGCAUCCGGCAAACGGUCUUUGAUGCAGUAGCAUUGGAUUAUCAGACUGUUACCGUCAUUGUUGAUGCCACUGCAGCUGCGACAUCCGACAUACAUCUUGGUAUGCAUUUUUUCACUUAAGUUACACUGCCUUUGGUAUAUAAGCUGAAGUACAUUUUUUCUUUAUUUUGAGAAAAAUUAUGUUUUGUGUGACUGCUGAUGAACUAGAUGCAACUACGGUAUAGUAAUAGUUGGGCAUCCUCUUGAACCCGAAGUUGCAAUUUUGAGAAUAUUGCGGUUAAUCAUUGUGUGGUGUUGAAAACCUAAUUUAAAUAAGCAACUCUAUCCCCUUUCUAGCAGUAUAAACUUUUAGUUAAGGUGGAUCAAUAUAAUGUCACAGGUCUAGAGUUCACAUAUUGCAACCCACCUAUUUUCAAAAAUUGUGCAUGCAUCAAGGAUUUGAUGAAAAAAAAAUGAAUUUGGCUUGUAAAUGAGGAGCAUCUGAGGAUAUAAUUUAAAUAAAUAAGUUUGUCCCCUUCUCAAUAGCUCAAGAUUUUAGAUAAAGUGGUUCAACAUGUAAAUAUUCUACUUUCAAUACAAUAGAUUAGCACAUGUAUUGUACACCAGUGUGAAGUAGUCUACCAUUGAUAGCCCCCCUUCUUUUCCUGCAAUCACAAGAACAUAUGCAAUGGCCUUUUCAGUUAUUUCCGUUGCAGUGUAAAUCUUUUCAUAAAAGAUUUCUCAGGUUUAUUUUUAUUCCACUAAAUGAUUAUUCAUUAACAUGGAUUGCUUAAUGGAACUUUGCAUUGUAUCUUGUAACUAGUAUUUUGAUCUCAUCUUCAUUGAUUACUACAAUGGUGUUGUGAAGGAUCUUGUUUACAACGAUUAAAUUAUUACAUGACAAAUAUAUUAUUUGAAGAGAUGGUUCUUAGAUUUGAAGUAUGUGCUAUUGUUCUUGGGUUGUGUCAACUAUAAUUGUUGGCUUUCUAAGCCUUCGUUCACUUUCUGGAAUUGCUUUGAGAAACUGGAAUCAGUAAAACCUUAGCUCAGGUGAAUUGGCCAAAAUGGGCAAAAAGGGUAAUUGUGAAAUUGCAUUAAUAUGUUCAUCUAGAGGGUGGGAGAUCAAAACUGUACAUUUUAUAUAGGCUAGCUAAAUUUGAUUUGUGUAAACUCGUUGAGAAUAUCUAGAACUGAAAAAUCACAAAAGAAUUUAUAGAGAAGAGCAGAUAGAAUGAGCUAUGGACUUGGACAAAUGACGCGAUGAAAAGUUUCAGCUUAGAAAAUAUAUCUUAGCCUAUAUUUGGUCCCGCUUUAUUUUUUUUUGACAAGAAGCCAUUUUUCUCAACCAAUGAUGUGGGUUCAGUUUGAUUUUUAUAAAAGAUAUGCUACACAAACAGGACUGAGGAUAGGGUUCUUAAAUAGAGGGACACGUAUCAAAUACCGAUUGGAAACUUUGAAAAAAAAAUAAUAAUAAAAAAAGCACCAACCAAUUGCUGACACGUAUUCCCUGUCUCCAAAACCCCUGUUUGAUUAGCAUAAUUGUUUUUAUAAUAUAUUGUGGUAGGCCCAUUAUGACAGCAAAGAAUGUAAAUUUGUUUCUGACUUUUUUGCUGUAAUGUCGGAUUUGUCCUUGACUGAAUGUCACAAUUACUCUUCAUAAGUCUUGUGUGAAUUUAUUGGGAGGGGUCUUUAGAUACGCUUGUUUCGGAGUAUAUGCGGUACUUGGAGGGAUAGAAUAAAUACCCUAGUCAGCCUACAUAAACGAUUUCUUUCCUUAUUUUUAGGUUUAAAAUUUGAAUUAAGAAGAACUUGAAAUAUUUUUCAUAAUAAAAUCUGCUUAUAAGUAUGUUCUAAAGUAAAUAUUCCAUUUAUUGGUGAAAGCUAGAAGAAAAUAAUUGUGGGGGCAAAUUUCAUAAAAUAUUAAUUGUGAGGGGCAAAAUUUGAAAAUUAUGAUUUUUUUGAAAAUCUUGAAAAAACUUUGGGCGAAAUAACAUAUUUGAAAUUUAUUGUGGGGGAAGAGCCACUAUAAAUCCACCCUUGGUUGGAAGUCGGAAAUACUUGAGUUAAUUUCAAAAUAAGUAACUUUUUUUUUUUUUUUUUUUUUUUAGUAAGAGAGAGGUAACAUAUUUAAAUAUGUUUGGAAAUUGAACCUUUUUUUUCCCCAAAAAAAAUAAAAAAAGCUUAACCAAACAUGCUCAAAUGAGUGUCGGCAAACUCGGUGCAAUUUUUGAAUCUAGUCCAUAAGGAAUUACUGAUACAUAUAAUUUUUGUGUUUUCUCGUCCAGCAAAUAUUCUUGACAUGACUAAUAUUGGAGUGACGACCCCAACACUAGAAGAAUGGGGUUCCAAUGGCUGAUAUAUGUGGCAGUUUGAUCAUCAACAAGUGGUCACACAGGCUUAUUAUGUCUCUUGUUGUAUUAUUGAUACUUCAGUAGAGUAGGAUCUCUAUACUCUUUCAUGUACUAAUUUACCAAAUGCAAAUACUGUGUAUCUAUUUGUUUUUCUUUGAUUACCCAUAGCAAACUGAUGCCUUCAUAGAACUAUAGAAUUUCCGUUUUCACUUGCACGAGAAAGUGUACUUUUACUCGUGACGGGACUUGGAUUGUGAGUUGGAAAUCUAGUGUUAGACAUUACUGUCUGAUUUCCUUUGUCAAAAAAACUUUUGAAUAUUUAUGAAGUAAUAAAAAGAGAUAUGGCUGAACAAAGGUGCAAGUAUUAAAGUAAAUGCUGGACGAGACUCCCUGUGAGGUAUCUGCUUGUCUGAUUCAAGGGGAAAGGGCCUCUUGGAAGGGUGCAGUCGUGUAGGAAACAUGAGUAGUUAAGAUAUGAUCGAGCCUGGAUAUGUGUUACAAGAAACCAGCUCAAAUCGAC
rnacentral:lncRNA from 1 species